rnacentral:rRNA from 1 species
AUCAANACGACGCCCGUGUAAUGCAUCUAGCUUAAGCCGUUGGUCUAUANAGNUCUCACNCCUGGCCGCUCNGUUGGACAGCCUAACACAUGCAAGUCGAGCGGAUGACGGGAGCUUGCUCCUUGAUUCAGCGGCGGACGGGUGAGUAAUGCCUAGGAAUCUGCCUGGUAGUGGGGGACAACGUCGAAAGGAACGCUAAUACCGCAUACGUACCUACGGUAGAAAGCAGGGGACCUUCGGGCCUUGCGCUAUACAGAUGAGCCUAGGUCGGAUUAGCUAGUUGGUGAGGUAAUGGCUCACCAAGGCGACGAUCCGUAACUGGUCUGAGAGGAUGAUCAGUCACACUGGAACUGAGACACGGUCCAGACUCCUACGGGAGGCAGCAGUGGGGAAUAUUGGACAAUGGGCGAAAGCCUGAUCCAGCCAUGCCGCGUGUGUAGAAGAAGGUCUUCGGAUUGUAAAGCACUUUAAGUUAGGGAGGAAGGGCAGUAAGUUAAUACCUUGCUGUUUUGACGUUACCGACAGAAUAAGCACCGGCUAACUCUAGUGCCAGCAGCCGCGGUAAUACAGAGGGUGCAAGCGUUAAUCGGAAUUACUGGGCGUAAAGCGCGCGUAAGUGGUUGGUAAGUUCGGCUGUGAAAGCCCCGGGGCUCCCAACCUGGGAACUGGCUUCCAAAACUGGGCAAGGCUAAGAAGUACGGGACAAGGGUGGUGGAAAUUUUCCUUGGUGNUACCGGGGAAAAUGGCGUUACAUUUNUGGAAAGGGAACCCCCGUGGGGGAAGGGCGAACCCCUUNGCUUGAAUUUAUACCAUACUGUGUUAGCCACAUCGUGUUGGCACAANAGUAUANCCUUCUUUCACUCCNCANAANAUUAUACCAUGGAGCAAUAUAUAUUUGUGCGGNAAUUAAUCNCGUNNGAGAGCCCNAUUAUAUAUUAUUGGCGCCCCGNNAUUUAAUCNCUCNCCGCANAUAUUGUU